GAGGCGUUAGUAAACUCUUAUAUUAUCUUGUCAUGAUAAAGUCACAGGUGAAACCCCUGUACGCUUCU
rnacentral:tRNA from 1 species